rnacentral:rRNA from 1 species
GAUGAACGCUGGCGGCGUGCCUAAUACAUGCAAGUCGAGCGAACAGACGAGGAGCUUGCUCCUCUGACGUUAGCGGCGGACGGGUGAGUAACACGUGGAUAACCUACCUAUAAGACUGGGAUAACUUCGGGAAACCGGAGCUAAUACCGGAUAAUAUAUUUAACCGCAUGGUUCAAUAGUUAAAGACGGUUUUGCUGUCACUUAUAGAUGGAUCCGCGCCGCAUUAGCUAGUUGGUAAGGUAACUGCUUACCAAGGCAACGAUGCGUAGCCGACCUGAGAGCGUGAUCGGCCACACUGGAACUGCGACACGGUCCAGACUCCUACGGGAGGCAGCAGUAGGGAAUCUUCCGCAAUGGGCGAAAGCCUGACGGAGCAACGCCGCGUGAGUGAUGAAGGUCUUCGGAUCGUAAAACUCUGUUAUUAGGGAAGAACAAAUGUGUAAGUAACUAUGCACGUCUUGACGGUACCUAAUCAGAAAGCCACGGCUAACUACGUG